CGGAGCGUAGCGCAGCUGGCUAGCGCACUAGUAUGGGGUACUAGUGGUCGAGAGUUCGAAUCUCUCCGCUCCGA
rnacentral:tRNA from 1 species